GACGAACGCUGGCGGCGUGCUUAACACAUGCAAGUCGAACGGAAAGGCCCUGCUUUUGUGUGGUUCUCGAGUGGCGAACGGGUGUGUAACACGUGAGUAACAUGCCCUUAUCUUUCGGGUAACUUCAGGAAACUGGGGCUAAUACCGGGUAUGAUCUCCUGCUGCAUGUUGUGCGUUGGAAAGUUUCGGCGGUUCUGGAUGUACUGGCAGCUUAUCAGCUUGUUUGUCGGGUAGUGGAUUACCAAGGCUUUGACGGGUAGCCUGCCUGAGAGGGUUAACGGGCACAUGGCGACUGAGGUACGGCCCAGAAUCCAACGGGACGCAAUAGUGGGGAAUAUUGCAGAAUGGCGGGAAGCGUGAUGCAGCAACGCCGCGUGCGGGAUGACGGCUUAUGGGGUGUAAACAGCUUUCGAAGGUGACGAAGAGUGAGUGACGGUAAUGGGUAAAGAAGCACCGGCUAACUACGUG
rnacentral:rRNA from 1 species